UUAAAGGAAUUGACGGAAGGGCACCACAAGAAGUGGGGCCUGCGGCUUAAUUUGACUCAACACGGGAAACCUCACCAGGCCCGGACACUCGAAGGAUUGACAGAUUGAGAGCUCUUUCUUGAUUGGGUGGGUGGUGGUGCAUGGCCGUUCCCAGUUGGUGGAUCGAUUUGUCUGGUUAAUUCCGAUAACGAACGAGACUCUAGCCUGCUAACUAGGCGAUACCGGCAUCCUUGGCGCAGCCGGCGACACUAAAUCUUCUUAGAGGGACAGGCAGCUUCUAGCUGCACGAGAUUGAGCGAUAACAGGUCUGAGAUGCCCUUAGAUGUUCUGGGCUGCACGCGCGCCACACUGAAGGGAUCAGUGUGUGUUUUCCUAGCCCGAGAGGGCCGGGUAACCCGUUGAACCCCUUUCGUGCUAGGGAUUGGGGCUUGCAAUUUUUCCCCACCAACGAGGAAUUCCCAGUAAGUGCGAGUCACUCAGCUCGCGUUGAUUACGUCCCUGCCCUUUGUCCACACCGCCCGUCGCUACUACCGAUUGAAUGAUUCAGUGAGGUCUUCGGACCAGUGCGCGGCUUCGCCUCGGCGUGGCCGAUGCUACCGGGAAGAUGACCGAACUCGAUCAUUUAGAGGAAGUAAAAGUCGUAACAAGGUUUCC
rnacentral:rRNA from 1 species